UACGUAGGGUCCGAGCGUUGUCCGGAAUUACUGGGCGUAAAGAGCUCGUAGGUGGUUUGUCGCGUUGUUCGUGAAAACUCACAGCUCAACUGUGGGCGUGCGGGCGAUACGGGGCAGACUAGAGUACUGCAGGGGAGACUGGAAUUCCUGGUGUAGCGGUGGAAUGCGCAAAUAUCAGGAGGAACACCGGUGGCGAAGGCGGGUCUCUGGGCAGUAACUGACGCUGAGGAGCGAAAGCGUGGGGAGCGAACAGG
rnacentral:rRNA from 1 species